rnacentral:lncRNA from 1 species
CUUCGGGACAGUUCUAGGACAGCAGCAUUGACCUUGUGUAAGGAAAGGUUAAAUGUUAUUAUAAAACAGUGAAACCACAAAAGAUAGAAAAAAAAUAACAUGCUUAUCAUUGUCCAAAUAUGGCCUUCUUGAACUUUGGAUGCUAUUUCAGCACUGUGGGGAAAUUCCAGAAAUCUCUGCCUCCAAAUAGUUCCCUCUCACCUUAUCUGCCUUUGCUGAGAAACCAACGAUAAGCUUGGUAUCAGUCCGUGUCUGAAGGGGCCCAGAAAGCUGUCUGCGGGGAGCCUUGCAUCCUCCUCGUGCUGGAUUCGGUUUUCUGUAGGUCUUCAACCUCAGGUUAGUUUGCAGUGGUUCUCAACCUUCCUAAUGCUGUGACCCUAUAGUUCCUCACACUAUGAUGAGCUCCUCAACCAUAAAAAUUACAACUGUAAUUUUGCUAAUUUAUGAAUUGUACUCUAAACAUAUAUUUUUUGGAGAGAAGAGAUUUGCCAAAGGGGGUCACGACCCACAGGUUGAGAACCACUGGUUACAGUUACUUAGUACUCACAAUUACUUGGAUACUCACUGCUGGGGCAGUGACAUGGUGGCCUGAGCAGGGGUGCAAGGUCCCGAUGCGCCUGAAGCUGAACUACAUGGAAGAGAAAUUCUGCCCUUGGGAACCCAAGGCUUUUGCUUUUCUUGGCUCACCAAGACGCCGAGACAGAUUGGGUAGACCCCUGUUUAUACCCAUAGUGCCUCAUUCCAAGACAAACAUCGGUGGCUCUCUGUCUUCAUGUUUGUAUACAUGACUAAUCUUAGAGAUUUCGUGCAGCUGAGAUUCUCUGCUUUGGACCAAAGCAGACACGGAGAAAUCGAAACAAAAAAGAAUCCUGGUUUUCUCCGGUCUUUGUACUCUACUCUCCACAGAAGAGCUAGUGGUCCAGUUGGUUCUGAAAGACCCCCGGAGGCUCAGGCCCCAAGGAUCUUGGCCCAGGACCUCAGUGACCCCAAUCACCAAGCGGGGUUGAAAACUUGAUGCAAACAGCAUGAGGCUUUAUUGCAGUUGUUUAACGAGCUAACCCCAUGUUAGCUCAGGCCUUUCAUCCACCCACCAUGGAGGAUGGCUGGGGAAAGACUGAGAAGCCACAGGACCGAUAUCUUAUAGGGCAACGUAAGGGUAGUGUCUAGGGGUAUGCACAGGCUCAGGAUUGGUGUGCCUCCAGGCUUGGAGGACUUGCCCUGUGUUGAUUGGACAACUGGUUGUUAUGGCCCAUAGGCCCUCCCAGGGCAGUUGCUAUGCUCUGCACGUCAUUGCUGUGCACUUGUUCGUAAAGCACACCCAGAGCUGUAAAGCAUAGCACCACCAGCUAACUUCUGAUUGGUUCCUUGCCACGAGGCAGGCAUCUGACCUCCUAGUGACCAAGGCAAGGUCAGGCAAGCACAUGUUAGGCUGUUAUGGCUGCCAAAAUGGGGAACUGGUCCCUUCAGUUCCUCAGGUGCCUGAGGACCAGAGGGUUAGGUUGCCUUAGCCCUUAGGGAGUGACAGGAAUGCUGAGAAUGUCUGGCACCAAUUUUCAGACCCUCUGGGAAAGGAAGUUUUGGCUUGGAGUGAUGGAGGAAGCAAUCUUUACCUCUGACCACAGUUACCUGAGGACUUGGAUCUCACCCCUGAGCCCAAGGGUCUGCUGCUGAAAUCCUCCAGAUCUGUCCACCCGGGAAGAGAGGCCCCUGUGAAAGAUUGCAUAGCAAACUACAGAUGUGAAAUUCUUUUUUAAAGAUUUGUUUGUUUUUAUUUUAUAUGCAUUGGUAUUUUGCCUGCAUAUAUGUCUGUGUGAAGGUGCCAGAUCCCCUGGAACUGGAGUUACAGACAGUCAUGAGCCACCAUGUGGAUGCUGGGAAUUGAAUCUGGGUCCUCUGGAAGAGCAGCCAGUGCUCUUAACCUCUGAGCCUUGUCUCCAGCCCAUGUGAAAUUAUUUUGCCUCUGAUUCUUAACCCUGAGUUAUUUAUUCUGAGACAGUGUUUCUCAACCUUCAGUGUAGUUCCUCAUGUUGUGAUGACCCCCCAACCAUAAAAUCUUUUUCAUUGCUACUUCAUGACUGCAAUUUUGCUACUGUUUUGAAUCAGAAAGUAAAUCUCUGUGUUUUUUUCCAGUAGUUUUGGGUAACUCCUUUGAAAGGGUUGUUUGAUUCUCCAAAGCGUCAUGACCCACUGAUUGAGAACCCCUUCUCUAAGACUUCAGUAGCUAGAGGAACAAAUGGGUCCACUGUAUAUGUCCUAUGACCCAUCUUUCAGAGUUCAAAUGUUGGGCACUAUCUGGUUUGAUAUGCCAAAGAUUCUGAAGUAACAUUUUCUUUUAGUAGAAAAAGAAGGAAAAAUGGCCAGGGAUUGACUCCCAAGUGUCACCAUACAACAGUUGUUCUGAUUCUCGGUCCCCAGUCAUAACUUGGGAUAUAUUUGAGUCUGCAUUUAAUUCAUACAAGUAUGAGGACAGUCAUCAUCAGAAACCACAUCACAGAUACAACCACUUUUGCAGCAACCUUUGUGACAACUAGAAUUGCACAAAGAGAGUGCAAUUUGUGUUCUGAGAUGGACUCUGUUAACAUAGUUUCAAUUACUUAGCUGUUCUCCUCUAAUAUGUCUGGGUUUUGAUGGACUUAACCAUUGCCCUCAAUCCCUGCAACCUCAUGACAUGGCCACUCUGCCCCACCCUUUGCUUGCAGAGACGCCUCCUUGGAGGAACAGUUCACCCUGCAUUCGGGAAGUACAGACGUUAAUGUAAAAGCAGUUUAGUGAGCAUGUUUGCUUGUGUCAGGCUACAAACAUGAAAGGGUUUUCUUUUUCCUAUAGUUACUCCUAAGUGUAUUCUGUCAAAACUCUGUUGUCACCUGCUGUGAGCUUCACUAAUGACCUCGAAGCUUAGCAUCCUGACUUUUGGUGCCUUCACCUUAUUAAAACUCACUGAUGAAAACCUUAAGGCUCAGCAGUAUUCAUUUCAAAAGUUUAAAAUCGGUUGCUUUCAAAGCCCCGCCCCUCCUUUUCCUCCAAAGAGGUGGAGGUGUUAACCCAUAGUGUCAACCCUUCCUCUGUCAAAUAUACCCCACCCCCAUCCCCUGGGGCUGCC